rnacentral:rRNA from 1 species
UCUGGCUCAGACGAACGCUGGCCGGCGCGUCUUAAGCAUGCAAGUCGAACGGCAAGAGGUAGCAAUACCUCCUAGAGUGGCGGACUGGUGAGUAACACGUGGGUGACAUACCCUUCAGAUGGGGAUAGCUAUUAGAAAUAGUAGAUAAUACCGAAUACGAGCACAGGGGUUAGAGAUCUGUGAGGAAAGGAGCUAAGGCUCCGCUGAAGGAAUGGCCUGCGGCCCAUUAGCUAGUUGGUGAGGUAAGAGCCCACCAAGGCGAUGAUGGGUAUCCGGCCUUAGAGGGUGAACGGACACAUUGGGACUGAGAUACGGCCCAGACUCCUACGGGAGGCAGCAGCUAAGAAUAUUCCGCAAUGGACGAAAGUCUGACGGAGCGACGCCGCCGUGGAUGAAGAAGGCCGGAAGGUUGUAAAAUCCUUUUGAAACUGAAGAAUAAGCGUUGUAGGGAAUGACAGCGUGGUGACAGUAGGUUUUGAAUAAGCAACGGCUAACUACGUGCCAGCCGCCGC